GACGAACGCUGGCGGCGUGCUUAACACAUGCAAGUCGAACGGAAAGGCCCUGCUUUUGUGGGGUGCUCGAGUGGCGAACGGGUGAGUAACACGUGAGUAACCUGCCCUUGACUUUGGGAUAACUUCAGGAAACUGGGGCUAAUACCGGAUAGGAGCUCCUGCUGCAUGGUGGGGGUUGGAAAGUUUCGGCGGUUGGGGAUGGACUCGCGGCUUAUCAGCUUGUUGGUGGGGUAGUGGCUUACCAAGUCUUUGACGGGUAGCCGGCCUGAGAGGGUGACCGGCCACAUUGGGACUGAGAUACGGCCCAGACUCCUACGGGAGGCAGCAGUGGGGAAUAUUGCACAAUGGGCGGAAGCCUGAUGCAGCAACGCCGCGUGCGGGAUGACGGCCUUCGGGUUGUAAACCGCUUUCGCCUGUGACGAAGCGUGAGUGACGGUAAUGGGUAAAGAAGCACCGGCUAACUACGUG
rnacentral:rRNA from 1 species